rnacentral:rRNA from 1 species
GUGGGGAAUAUUGGACAAUGGGCGGAAGCCUGAUCCAGCAAUGCCGCGUGUGUGAAGAAGGCCUGAGGGUUGUAAAGCACUUUCAAUGGGAAGGAAAAAAGCCGGGCUAAUACCCUGGUUCUUGACAUUACCUAUAGAAGAAGCACCGGCUAACUCCGUGCCAGCAGCCGCGGUAAUACGGAGGGUGCGAGCGUUAAUCGGAAUUACUGGGCGUAAAGCGUGCGUAGGCGGUUAUUUAAGUCAGAUGUGAAAGCCCCGGGCUUAACCUGGGAACUGCAUUUGAUACUGGGUAACUUGAGUUUGGUAGAGGAGAGUGGAAUUUCCGGUGUAGCGGUGAAAUGCGUAGAUAUCGGAAGGAACACCAGUGGCGAAGGCGGCUCUCUGGACCAAAACUGACGCUGAGGUACGAAAGCGUGGGUAGCAAACAGGAUUAGAAACCCGUGUAGUCC